UACAUAUAGGGCGAGCGUUGUCCGGAAUUACUGGGCGUAAAGGGCGCGUAGGCGGGUUGAUGGGUCAAUUGUGAAAGCUUCGGGCUCAACCCGAGAAGUGCAAUUGAAACUAUCAAUCUUGAGUAUAGGAGAGGGUGAUGGAAUUCCUGAUGUAGCGGUGAAAUGCGUAGAUAUCAGGAGGAACACCAGUGGCGAAAGCGGUCACCUGGUCUAUUACUGACGCUGAGGCGCGAAAGCGUGGGGAGCAAAAGGG
rnacentral:rRNA from 1 species